CUACGGGGGGCUGCAGUCGAGAAUCUUCCGCAAUGGGCGAAAGCCUGACGGAGCAAUGCCGCGUGUAGGAUGAAGGCCUUUGGGUUGUAAACUACUGUCACCGGGGAUGAAUAUUGACAGUACCCGGAGAGGAAGCCACGGCUAACUACGUGCCAGCAGCCGCGGUAAUACGUAGGUGGCGAGCGUUGUUCGGAUUUAUUGGGCGUAAAGGGUUCGUAGGGGGUUGCUUAAGUCUGAUGUGAAAUCCCACGGCUUAACCGUGGAACUGCAUUGGAAACUGGGCGACUAGAGGAUCGGAGAGGAGAGUGGAAUUCCGGGAGUAGCGGUGGAAUGCGUAGAUAUCCGGAAGAACACCGACAGCGAAGGCAGCUCUCUGGACGAUUCCUGACCCUGAGGGACGAAAGCGUGGGUAGCAAACAGGAUUAGAUACCCCGGUAGUC
rnacentral:rRNA from 1 species